CAGGGCUGGGGAAGGGCUGCUGGAUGGUGGGGGCCACUGGCCCAGCCAUGUUCCAACCAGCCUCACCCAUGCCCGAGAGCAACUCCUGGGCAGGCUCCCCACCGGGGCGUGUCCCUUGCAGUAACAGGUGUGAGCAUCCAUGCAGCAUUUUGGUGGUCAUGUAUGAUACUGCACACAACA